GAUGAACGCUGGCGGCGUGCCUAAUACAUGCAAGUCGAGCGAACGGACGAGAAGCUUGCUUCUCUGAUGUUAGCGGCGGACGGGUGAGUAACACGUGGAUAACCUACCUAUAAGACUGGGAUAACUUCGGGAAACCGUAGCUAAUACCCGAUAAUAUUUUGAACCGCAUGGUUCAAAAGUGAAAGACGGUCUUGCUGUCACUUAUAGAUGGAUCCGCGCUGCAUUAGCUAGUUGGUAAGGUAACGGCUUACCAAGGCAACGAUGCAUAGCCGACCUGAGAGGGAGAUCGGCCCCACUGGAACUGGGACACGGUCCAGACUCCUACGGGAGGCAGCAGUAGGGAAUCCUCCGCAAUGGGCGAAAGCCUGACGGAGCAACGCCGCGUGAGUGAUGAAGGUCUUCGGAUCGUAAAAAUCUGUUAUUAGGGAAGAACAUAUGUGUAAGUAACUGUGCACAUAUUGACGGUACCUAAUCAGAAAGCCACGGCUAACUACGUG
rnacentral:rRNA from 1 species